rnacentral:rRNA from 1 species
AACAGGAUUAGAUACCCUGGUAGUCCACGCCGUAAACGAUGUCGACUUGGAGGUUGUUCCCUUGAGGAGUGGCUUCCGGAGCUAACGCGUUAAGUCGACCGCCUGGGGAGUACGGCCGCAAGGUUAAAACUCAAAUGAAUUGACGGGGGCCCGCACAAGCGGUGGAGCAUGUGGUUUAAUUCGAUGCAACGCGAAGAACCUUACCUACUCUUGACAUCCACGGAAUUUGGCAGAGAUGCCUUAGUGCCUUCGGGAACCGUGAGACAGGUGCUGCAUGGCUGUCGUCAGCUCGUGUUGUGAAAUGUUGGGUUAAGUCCCGCAACGAGCGCAACCCUUAUCCUUUGUUGCCAGCGAUUCGGUCGGGAACUCAAAGGAGACUGCCGGUGAUAAACCGGAGGAAGGUGGGGAUGACGUCAAGUCAUCAUGGCCCUUACGAGUAGGGCUACACACGUGCUACAAUGGCGCAUACAAAGAGAAGCGACCUCGCGAGAGCAAGCGGACCUCAUAAAGUGCGUCGUAGUCCGGAUCGGAGUCUGCAACUCGACUCCGUGAAGUCGGAAUCGCUAGUAAUCGUGGAUCAGAAUGCCACGGUGAAUACGUUCCCGGGCCUUGUACACACCGCCCGUCACACCAUGGGAGUGGGUUGCAAAAGAAGUAGGUAGCUUAUCCUUUCGGGGAGGGCGCUUACCACUUUGUUGAUUCAUGACUGGGGUGAAGUCGUAACAAGGUAACC